rnacentral:rRNA from 1 species
GAGCACGUAGGUGGGUUUGUAAGUCAGAUGUGAAAGCCUUCUGUUCAACGGGAGAAUUGCAUCUGAAACUGCUAAUCUUGAGUAUAGGAGGGGAGAAUGGAACUUCUGGUGGAGCGGUGAAAUGCGUAGAUAUCAGAAGGAACGCCGGCGGCGAAAGCGAUUCUCUGGCCUAUUACUGACACUCAGUGUGCGAAAGCUAGGGGAGCAAACGGGAUUAGAUACCCCGGUAGCAUGGUAGAG